rnacentral:rRNA from 1 species
GUUCGAUCUGGCUCAGAUUGAACGCUGGCGGGAUACUUUACACGUAUGCAAGUCGAACGGCAGCACGGACUUCGGUCUGGUGGCGAGUGGCGAACGGGUGAGUAAUGUAUCGGAACAUUGCCUAGUAGCGGGGGAUAACUUUACGCGAAAGCAUAGCUAAUACCGCAUACGCCCUUCGGGGAAAGCGGGGGACCUUCGGGCUCGCGCCACUAACAGAGCGGCCGAUAUCGGAUUAGCUUCUGUUGGUGGGGUAACGGCUCACCGGAAGGCGACGAUCCGUAGCUGGUUUAGAAGGGGCGACCAGCCACACCAGGACUGGGAACGGCCAGACUCCUACGGAGGCAGCAGUGGGGAAUUUUGGACAAUGGGGGAAACCCUGAUCCAGCCAUCCCGCGUGUGCGAUGAAGGCCUUCGGGUUGCUAAAACACUUUUGGCGGAAAAGAAACGGCCUGGAUAAUACCCCGUGCAGCGGCCGGUACCUGCAGAAUAAGCACCGGCUAACUACGUGCCAGCAGCCGCGGUAAGCCGUAAAGGGUGCAAGCGUUAAUCGGAAUUACUGGGCGUAAAGCGUGCGCAGGCGGUUCGGAAAGAAGAUGUGAAAUCCCAAGGCUUAACUUUUGAACUGCAUUUUUAACUACGAGCUAAGAGUGUGUCAGAGGGAGGUGGAAUUCCGCAUAGCAGUGAAAUGCGUAGAUAUGCGGAGGAACACCGAUGGCGAAGGCAGCCUCCUGGGAUAACACUGACGCUCAUGUGCGCACAGCAUUGCAGGAGCAAACAGGAUUAGAUACCCUGGUAGUCCGCCUAAACGAUGUCCACAGCUAGCUGUUGGAACCCUUCGAGGCCUUGUUAGCGCAACUAACGCGUGAAGUUGACCGCCUGCGAUACGGUCGCAGAUUAAAACUCCAAAGGAAUUGACAGGGACCCGCACAAGCGGUGGAUGAUGUGGUUAAUUCGAUGCAACGCGAAAAACCUUACCUACCCUUGACAUGUCUGGAAUCCCGAAGAGAUUCCAGGAGUGCUCGCAAGAGAACCGGAACACAGGUGCUGCAUGGCUGUCGUCAGCUCGUGUCGUGAGAUGUUGGGUUAAGUCCCGCAACGAGCGCAACCCUUGUCAUUGGUUGCUACGAAAGGGCACUCUAAUGGAGACUGCCGGUGACAAACCGGAGGAAGGUGGGGAUGACGUCAAGUCCUCAUGGCCCUUAUGGGUAGGGCUUCACACGUCAUACAAUGGUCGGGACAGAGGGUCGCCAACCCACGAGGAGAGCCAAUCCCAGAAACCCGAUCGUAGUCGGAUCGCAGUCUGCAACUCGACUGCGUGAAGUCGGAAUCGCUAGUAAUCGCGGAUCAGCGUAAUAUCGCGGUGAAUACGUUCCCGGGUCUUGUACACACCGCCCGUCACACCAUGAAGGUGGGUUUUACGAAGUAGUUGGCCUAACCGGAGGGGCGAUUACCACGGUAAGUUCGUGACUGAGGUGAAGUCGUAACAAGGUAG